AAGUAGUUGUAUCGGUGAUAAGAGAUACUACCAGGGACUGUGUGGCAAGAAGAUUCAGGUUCAGCUAGAGUGCGUUGUCUUAGGCUUGUUCAUCCGGAUGCGUUGAGGAAAGUUAGGCUGGGUCGAGGAAGGUGAUGACCUUGCAUGAGUUUGGGAGCAGACUGACGUGCGCUUUUCA